rfam:Operophtera brumata OBRT01_Sc06113, whole genome shotgun sequence.
CGUUCUAUGGCCAAAUUGGUAAAGGCAUCGCCGAUUACAGGCGAGGAUGCGGAUUCGAGUCCCGCUGGAACGG